GCAUGGAUGGAUUAAUCUGAUUGUACUUAUUAUCAACUGUUUCAUCGUUGUAAUUAAAGCAUAAUCAACCGAGGAGUUCGCUUCAA